rnacentral:tRNA from 1 species
GCCGGGGUAGCUCAGGGGUCAGAGCGAACGACUCAUAAUCGUUAGGUCGAGGGUUCAAUUCCCUCCCCCGGCACCA